UUUGAAAAAAAAAAAAAAAACAACGCACCUCCAUCUUCUUCUUCGUUUGAUAACUUUUCUCCCGGGGACUCAUCGAAUGAACACUUCGGGAUGUUGCAAGAAGUAGUAGAUAAUCCGGGUACUUUUUGCCUACUGGUUUUUAAAUACCAGGAAUUCGGACAUACUCCUCGCCUCGCCUACUACUUUUCGCCUACUUUUUAGUAUGUUUUUUUUUUUAUUGCUUAAAACUAUUUAGUAUGUAAGUAGGCGGUUUCGCUCGCAGGCCAUCUUCCAAGCUGACGCCCCGCGUGUAAAUCAUCCUCCUCGCGUCUUUUAUUUUGACCAAUCAGCAUUCAAAAGCAAGAUAAGGUCGUGACCUAAUCUUAUUUUUCAUCGACAACUUUCGUGGUACUUUAGCAAUUCUCAGAAAAUGUAUCAAUCAGCAACAUCAAAAAGGCUCCUCACAACACCAUCAGCAGAGGUGAAGCGUCUGGAAGGUUCGAACCUAAGAAGGAGGUAACUUGCAACCUCCAGUGUCUCUGCACCUCCACCUGCAACCUGCAGUGUUACAAGGUCAUAAAGAAACUUGUGCACAAAUGUGGAAAAUGAACACUUCCAAGUCUUUGUGUCUGUGCUGACAGCUGAAGGGUGACAUGACCUGCACCCCAUGGCAGCUGACCUGAUGAAAUGCUACUGGGAGGCAGGAGAGCCCCAAAAGUGAUUUAGGUGAACAGAGAUUGCUGUAGUCAGCACGGCCAGUCUCAGGUGAAGGUCAUGUUUUUGAGUGGCAUGAGCUUAAACUGCACCUUGACAUCUGGUAUUUCAUGAAGUGAUUUGUGGCACUUGCAAUAAUAUUCCAGUUCUUUUCUAAUGUCAUAAGCAUUACAAUAAUUUCUCAUGUGUUUCAUAACUCAAUUGCAGGAAACCAGUACUUUAUAGCAGCUCAUGUGCAGUACAUAUUUUGUACAUAUGUUUAUUUAACUUUUAGGAACCAGUGCCAGUGAUGAACAUUUUCAGGCCUAUCUUCUUAAGGGCUUGACGCAUUGGAAUGACAACCGGAUGGAAGAUUCAAUUAAAGGAGCGUCUUGCAUACGGUCAUUAUCAUAGCACUGCUACAGUAUGAGGCGGUGGACCAGCUUUGCAUAUGUGACACUGGAUCAGUCUCUCAGACGAGGCUCGGAUUCAUCACCACCCUGGAUGAGGCCGAUGACUGUGGUGUGACCUGCACAGUGCACACUUCAAGAGUUUGAUGGAGGGGUGUUUUAAAAUCCAGUCGUUGGUGUAAAGGAAGAAGAGAAGAAGAGAACGCACACAGCCUUGAGGAGCACCAGUGCUGAUGGUGCUGGAGUGUGGUACUCUGACUGGACUUCAGAAAAUAGGAAAUCUCGGUUCCUAACUCCGGAAGACAAUUACAAAGCACGUUCCACCCAGAAAGGUCACAGCAAUUUACACCCUGGCCACAACAUGUUCACCCCUGUGGCAUCUGGCAAACGAUAGUAUUGUACAGAUUUGCUCUUACAAAUAAAUUAAAAAACUGCAUUUUCUUUGAAAAA